GCUAAAAUACGACGUCAUCUCUCGUAUGGCGCCACUUUGAUUACAGGCUCUCUAAUGUCAGCGACAGAUAAAUUCGUUCGAACUUACAAUUAGAUUUUCAUUUAUUCUUUAUAACGAUUUGCAAUUAGUGUGCUUGUGAGGUUAGGGUGUGUUUAUUUUGAUCAAAUGGCAGAUAAAUAUUUUAGUGCUCAGGAAUAUACUGACAUGAUCAUCAUAUAUGGUGAAGCCGGAGAAGACGCUGUUGAAGCCGCUAAUCUGUACGCAGAACGAUUUCCUGGACGCAAGAUAUUUCCUGAUGCUAACGUUAUCUUAAGUUGUGUUCGACGUGCGCGAGAAACAGGAUGCGUGUUGCAGAUUGAAACUGAACCUGAACAGUAGUUGGCGCAUUUUCAGAGUUGUAGGUUAAACAUGCAUGAAUUCUAUAUUCGCGUGCACUAAGGUACAUGGUGCACCUAAUAUUGUUGGCCAAGAUAAGGCAAACCUCAACAUUGUUCUCCACUUGAUGAUUCUAAAGUUCAUAAGUUGAGCAAUCAAGAUCAUCGAACAGGCUGCUUACGAUUACUAUUAAGGAAGCAAAAUAUCUAAUCGACGAUGGCAUUGUAAAGUGCAGCGAGUAUACCAAUGAAAUAUUUAUAUGAAAGUUGUUACAUAAGUUAAAUAAAAAGCAGACAAUUUUGUUAAUCGAAAUUUAAGCUGCCAAAUACUAAUUCAUGCAUCCGCAAUGAAGGAACCACUAUUAUCUACCAUUUGCUAUAUCUCGUACAGUUUCGUGUAUGUGUUUUCAUGCGAUUAGAAAUUUAUAAUUGGAAUCGACGGAAUGCAAGUAUUGUUGAGUAAUGUUUCAGUCACUUACAGGUAUAGAUUUUCCCUUAGUAUUAUCUCGAUUAGAUGCGAUUUGACUCAAUUUCAAGAUUUGUCAAAUAUGUGGAAUGGCAUUUAAUUUUUUUUCGUCCAAACAUACAAUAUGUACACCAUUGACUUCUAUUGACUUCAUUAAUCAUAUACGCUUCUACAUGUAACCAAUAUAAUGCAUCGUUUAUUCAGAGAAAAGAUCUUGAUACAGAUUGUAAAAAUUAGCCAUGUAAAUUGAGUAUUAGAAAUGCUGUAUCAGUUUUAAAUAAAAUUGUUAUGUGAGACGUAUAUAUACUUUUCCAUUAAGUAAGAAUAGUUGAAAAAUAAAAGUUUAUGAAAUUUUAACACCUA